CAGCAGCCGCGGUAAUACGUAGGGGGCAAGCGUUAUCCGGAUUUACUGGGUGUAAAGGGAGCGUAGGCGGCGCGGCAAGUCCGAAGUGAAAGGUGGGGGCCCAACCCCCGGACUGCUUUGGAAACUGUCAUGCUUGAGUGCGGGAGGGGCAGGCGGAAUUCCUGGUGUAGCGGUGAAAUGCGUAGAUAUUAGGAGGGACACCGGCGGCGAAGGCGGCCUGCUGGACCGUAACUGACGUUGAGGCUCGAAGGCGUGGGGAGCAAACAGGAUUAGAUACCCUGGUAGUCCACGCGGUAAACGAUGAUCACUAGGUGUCUGGGGACAUGGUCCCCGGGUGCCGCAGCCAACGCAUUAAGUGAUCCACCUGGGGAGUACGUUCGCAAGAAUGAAACUCAAAUGAAUUGACGG
rnacentral:rRNA from 1 species